CGUGCCCGUAUUCGUAAUUUCGUAGUUAGAACUGGGCUCUGGCAAGUUUAACAUGUUUUAAACAAAAGUUAGUAAUCAUGCGAGAACAAAUUAAAAAGGCUUUGGGCCUGCUGUUGGUCCAAAUAUAUUUUUGCACUGACCCUGUAUACGCCCAGUUCAUCCUGACUCCGCCCUACUUUAAUAUUGCAGAAAACAGACCUAUAACUGCGAAUGCUACCUGUUUAGACCUAUAACUGCGA